rnacentral:rRNA from 1 species
GACGAACGCUGGCGGCGUGCCUAAUACAUGCAAGUAGAACGCUGAAGGAGGAGCUUGCUUCUCCGGAUGAGUUGCGAACGGGUGAGUAACGCGUAGGUAACCUGCCUGGUAGCGGGGGAUAACUAUUGGAAACGAUAGCUAAUACCGCAUAAUAGUAGAUGUUGCAUGACAUUUACUUAAAAGGUGCAAUUGCAUCACUACCAGAUGGACCUGCGUUGUAUUAACUAGUUGGUGGGGUAACGGCUCACCAAGGCGACGAUACAUAGCCGACCUGAGAGGGUGAUCGGCCACACUGGGACUGAGACACGGCCCAGACUCCUACGGGAGGCAGCAGUAGGGAAUCUUCGGCAAUGGACGGAAGUCUGACCGAGCAACGCCGCGUGAGUGAAGAAGGUUUUCGGACCGUAAAGCUCUGUUGUAAGAGAAGAACGAGUGUGGGAGUGGAAAGUUCACACUGUGACGGUAUCUUACCAGAAAGGGACGGCUAACUACGUGCCAGCAGCCGCGGUAAUACGUAGGUCCCGAGCGUUGUCCGGAUUUAUUGGGCGUAAAGCGAGCGCAGGCGGUUAGAUAAGUCUGAAGUUAAAGGCUGUGGCUUAACCAUAGUACGCUUUGGAAACUGUUUAACUUGAGUGCAAGAGGGGAGAGUGGAAUUCCAUGUGUAGCGGUGAAAUGCGUAGAUAUAUGGAGGAACACCGGUGGCGAAAGCGGCUCUCUGGCUUGUAACUGACGCUGAGGCUCGAAAGCGUGGGGAGCAAACAGG